GCUGAGGCGUGACGACGAGGCACUACGGUGCUGAAGCAACAAAUGCCCUGCUUCCAGGAAAAGCCUCUAAGCAUCAGGUAACAUCAAAUCGUACCCCAAACCGACACAGGUGGUCAGGUAGAGAAUACCAAGGCGCUUGAGAGAACUCGGGUGAAGGAACUAGGCAAAAUGGUGCCGUAACUUCGGGAGAAGGCACGCUGACACGUAGGUGAAGUGAUUUACUCAUGGAGCUGAAGUCAGUCGAAGAUACCAGCUGGCUGCAACUGUUUAUUAAAAACACAGCACUGUGCAAACACGAAAGUGGACGUAUACGGUGUGACGCCUGCCCGGUGCCGGAAGGUUAAUUGAUGGGGUCAGCGCAAGCGAAGCUCCUGAUCGAAGCCCCGGUAAACGGCGGCCGUAACUAUAACGGUCCUAAGGUAGCGAAAUUCCUUGUCGGGUAAGUUCCGACCUGCACGAAUGGCGUAAUGAUGGCCAGGCUGUCUCCACCCGAGACUCAGUGAAAUUGAACUCGCUGUGAAGAUGCAGUGUACCCGCGGCAAGACGGAAAGACCCCGUGAACCUUUACUAUAGCUUGACACUGAACAUUGAGCCUUGAUGUGUAGGAUAGGUGGGAGGCUUUGAAGCGUGGACGCCAGUCUGCGUGGAGCCGACCUUGAAAUACCACCCUUUAAUGUUUGAUGUUCUAACGUGGACCCGUAAUCCGGGUUGCGGACAGUGUCUGGUGGGUAGUUUGACUGGGGCGGUCUCCUCCUAAAGAGUAACGGAGGAGCACGAAGGUUGGCUAAUCCUGGUCGGACAUCAGGAGGUUAGUGCAAUGGCAUAAGCCAGCUUGACUGCGAGCGUGACGGCGCGAGCAGGUGCGAAAGCAGGUCAUAGUGAUCCGGUGGUUCUGAAUGGAAGGGCCAUCGCUCAACGGAUAAAAGGUACUCCGGGGAUAACAGGCUGAUACCGCCCAAGAGUUCAUAUCGACGGCGGUGUUUGGCACCUCGAUGUCGGCUCAUCACAUCCUGGGGCUGAAGUAGGUCCCAAGGGUAUGGCUGUUCGCCAUUUAAAGUGGUACGCGAGCUGGGUUUAGAACGUCGUGAGACAGUUCGGUCCCUAUCUGCCGUGGGCGCUGGAGAACUGAGGGGGGCUGCUCCUAGUACGAGAGGACCGGAGUGGACGCAUCACUGGUGUUCGGGUUGUCAUGCCAAUGGCACU
rnacentral:rRNA from 1 species